UGUAUGACUCAUGUAUUAUGGAUUGCAUUGGGCGCGUUUCGUAGAAACUGUAAGGGAUCAUUCGUAUUUCCACUUUCUGUUUGUCACCAUACUUCGUUCAAGCCAGCGACUUCAACACAAAGCAUUUGCUCAUCGACAAGGAAGGGAGCUAAGACAUGGCAACCAUUACAUUUUACCACUACACGGACGGGCCGGGGAAGGACGCUAUCGUCAGGGAGAACAGAAUACGCCAAAGUGAUGGAGCAAACGAUGCCCUGUAUGGGCCAGGUGUUUACGGAACAAGUCUGGCUCCUUCUGAAGGACGCACGAAAAUAGCCUGGAACAACUGGGAUGGUAAUGUUCGACGUUACCGGGCAUGAUGAUGAGGGCGUCAUGGGCAAUCAAGGUGGAGCUACCAAAGUCCAAGGUUCAAGAAGCUGGGUCAGAGCGAGAUAUCUUGAUUUACACUGGCGGUGACCUUGUUCUUGUACCUUGGCAAUUACGAGGUCAUCAAGGUUGCCUGAACAAGAAGAAAACCGCUAUUUUGAUAACGUAGUUUAAAGUUUCAUCUAUUCAAAAUGUUACAAGAAGAUUUGAAGCCAUAGAUGUGUGAGAACAGAUGACUAUGUAUGCAUGAUGCUGAAAUCAAUGCAGACAUUUAUCAGUAUUUGUCAUUUUCUGUCUUAUUUUGUCACUUCACUCAGCAGUAAACAUUGAUCUAUCAUU